rnacentral:rRNA from 1 species
CAGUAGCCACGGGAAUACAGAGGGUGCGAGCGUUAAUCGGAUUUACUGGGCGUAAAGCGUGCGUAGGCGGCUUUUUAAGUCGGAUGUGAAAUCCCUGAGCUUAACUUAGGAAUUGCAUUCGAUACUGGGAAGCUAGAGUAUGGGAGAGGAUGGUAGAAUUCCAGGUGUAGCGGUGAAAUGCGUAGAGAUCUGGAGGAAUACCGAUGGCGAAGGCGACUAUCUGGGCCAACACUGACACUGAGGCACGAAAGCGUGGGGAGCAAACAGGAUUAGAUACCCCUGUAGUCCCUGUCUCUUAUAC